GUGGGGAAUAUUGGACAAUGGGCGAAAGCCUGAUCCAGCCAUGCCGCGUGAGUGAUGAAGGCCUUAGGGUUGUAAAGCUCUUUCAGUAGGGAAGAUAAUGACGGUACCUACAGAAGAAGCCCCGGCUAACUUCGUGCCAGCAGCCGCGGUAAUACGAAGGGGGCUAGCGUUGUUCGGAUUUACUGGGCGUAAAGCGCACGUAGGCGGAUUGGUCAGUUAGAAGUGAAAUCCUGGAGCUCAACUCCAGAACUGCCUUUAAUACUGCCAGUCUAGAGUCCAGAAGAGGUGAGUGGAACUCCUAGUGUAGAGGUGGAAUUCGUAGAUAUUAGGAAGAACACCAGUGGCGAAGGCGGCUCACUGGUCUGGUACUGACGCUGAGGUGCGAAAGCGUGGGGAGCAAACAGGAUUAGAAACCCCAGUAGUCC
rnacentral:rRNA from 1 species